rnacentral:rRNA from 1 species
UACGAAGGGGGGCUAGCGUUGUUCGGAUUUACUGGGCGUAAAGCGCACGUAGGCGGAUCUUUAAGUCAGAGGUGAAAUCCCAAGGCUCAACCUUGGAACUGCCUUUGAUACUGGAGAUCUUGAGUCCGGGAGAGGUGAGUGGAACUGCGAGUGUAGAGGUGAAAUUCGUAGAUAUUCGCAAGAACACCAGUGGCGAAGGCGGCUCACUGGCCCGGUACUGACGCUGAGGUGCGAAAGCUAGGGGAGCAAACGGG